AGUUGGUUCGCUUGGACGCGAUUAAAAGGGAACCGGGUGAGAAUCCCGGACAGACCCGCUGCUGUAAGUUCUGUAAUCCGACAUCACGAUGCCACUGACACGUGCAAGAGUGCCCGGUCGGGAAGGCGAUGGCGGAUGGAAUAAGUCAGAAGACCUGCCAAUAUUUAU
rnacentral:ncRNA from 1 species